CAAUACAGGUACAAUACAGGCAAGCUUUUCUCACAAGACCUCAACCAUGUGCCUCAACUCUGACCUGGAAGGACUACCUUUAAA
rnacentral:sRNA from 1 species